rnacentral:rRNA from 1 species
UACAGAGGGUGCGAGCGUUGUCCGGAAUCACUGGGCGUAAAGGGUUCGUAGGUGGCCACUUAAGUCAGACGUGAAAUCCCUCAGCUUAACUGGGGAACUGCGUCUGAUACUGAGUGGCUUGAGUGCAGGAGAGGGAUGCGGAAUUCCAGGUGUAGCGGUGAAAUGCGUAGAUAUCUGGAGGAACACCGGUGGCGAAGGCGGCAUCCUGGACUGUAACUGACACUGAGGAACGAAAGCCAGGGGAGCAAACGGG